rnacentral:ncRNA from 2 species
UUAGUUUUGUGGGGGAACCAUUUGGUUGAGAAGGUUAAACCUGACCCUUUGAACCUGAUUCAGUUAACACUGACGUAGGGAAGCAAAUAGAUUUAUAUA